GCACCACUGAGGUCAACAGAGUCACUCCCACCGGUGUCAGUGAGAAGGGAAUUAGGUAAAGAUACUGUGCAGUUGCCAGACCACCUAGCCCUCUAAGGGUUGAGUGAAUUAGUCCAAGUGAGGUGUAGGCAGCGAAGUUGGGAGAUUGGAAAACAACAUGAGAGGGGGUAUGGUCUUGCAUUGCAAGUCCAUGUACAAGGUGGACUACUUCUGCAAUGAGUGGAAGAGAAUGUUGGGUUGAAGAAAGGGGCUGGAUUUACAGUGCUGGAGACUGAAGUUCUUUCUCUGGAGAGUCAUUAAAGCAGAGACAGCUGCCCAGUGAGACCAGCUCCAGCAGUGAGAUAAGUUCCUCCUCCAUGAUCCAACAAGGCAGGUGGUGGAGCUGUGUACCGGCUGAGCUGGUGGACUCUGAAGACUCAUGAAGUGGAGAACCCACUGCUAGGAACUGGCAUGAAAUUCAUUGACACAUAUCCCAUUGACCACCAAACCAUGGUAAAAACCCCAUGGUAAAAACAGUCACUACCAGCCAGGUAAAGGGAAGAUGGGCUCCAUUUCCUAUCUGACACCAAAUG